CCCUUAGAUGUUCUGGGCCGCACGCGCGCUACACUGAUGAACGCAACGAGACCACCUGUACCGAAAGGCAUGGGUAAACUUGUGAAAGUUCAUCGUGAUGGGGAUAGAUUAUUGCAAUUAUUAAUCUUCAACGAGGAAUUCCUAGUAAGCGCGAGUCAUCAGCUCGCGUUGAUUACGUCCCUGCCCUUUGUACACACCGCCCGUCGCUCCUACCGAUUGAAUGGUCCGGUGAAAUCUUCGGAUUGCUGGAUAGGACUUCAUUGACCUAUCUGCGAGAAGUUGCUCGAACCUUAUCAUUUAGAGGAAGGAGAAGUCGUAACA
rnacentral:rRNA from 1 species